rnacentral:rRNA from 1 species
AACGAACGCUGGCGGCAUGCCUAACACAUGCAAGUCGAACGAGACCUUCGGGUCUAGUGGCGCACGGGUGCGUAACGCGUGGGAACCUGCCCUUAGGUUCGGAAUAAUUCCCCGAAAGGGGUGCUAAUACCGGAUAAUGUCUUCGGACCAAAGAUUUAUCGCCUUUGGAUGGGCCCGCGUUGGAUUAGCUAGUUGGUAGGGUAAAAGCCUACCAAGGCGACGAUCCAUAGCUGGUCUGAGAGGAUGAUCAGCCACACUGGGACUGGGACACGGCCCAGACUCCUACGGGAGGCAGCAGUGGGGAAUAUUGGACAAUGGGCGAAAGCCUGAUCCAGCAAUGCCGCGUGAGUGAUGAAGGCCUUAGGGUUGUAAAGCUCUUUUACCCGGGAUGAUAAUGACAGUACCGGGAGAAUAAGCUCCGGCUAACUCCGUG